rnacentral:rRNA from 1 species
GAUGAACGCUGGCGGCGUGCCUAAUACAUGCAAGUCGAGCGAACAGACGAGGAGCUUGCUCCUCUGACGUUAGCGGCGGACGGGUGAGUAACACGUGGAUAACCUACCUAUAAGACUGGGAUAACUUCGGGAAACCGGAGCUAAUACCGGAUAAUAUAUUGAACCGCAUGGUUCAAUAGUGAAAGACGGUUUUGCUGUCACUUAUAGAUGGAUCCGCUCCGCAUUAGCUAGUUGGUAAGGUAACGGCUUACCAAGGCAACGAUGCGUAGCCGACCUGAGAGGGUGAUCGGCCACAAUGGAACUGAGACACGGUCCAGACUCCUAAGGGAGGCAGCAGUAGGGAAUCUUCCGCAAUGGGCGAAAGCCUGACGGAGAAACGCAGCGUGAGUGAUGAAGGUAUUCGGAUCGUAAAACUCUGUUAUUAGGGAAGAACAAAUGUGUAAGUAACUAUGCACGUCUUGAAGGUACCUAAUCAGAAAGCCACGGCUAACUAAGUG